GACGAACGCUAGCGGCAGGCCUAACACAUGCAAGUCGAGGGGAAAGCCCUUUCGGGGGCAGUACCCGGCGCACGGGUGCGUAACGCGUAUGCGACCUAUCUUCCCCAGGGGGAUAGCCAGACGAAGGUUGGAUUAAUAACCACUAAUAAUAUUGGAUGGCAUCAUUUGAUAAUUAAAACUGCGGUGGUGGAAGAUGGGCAUGCGUCCUUUUGGCUAGUUGGAGUGGUAACGGCACCCCCAGGCUACGAUAGGUAGGGGUCCUGAGAGGGAGAUCCUGCACGCGUGGACUGAGACAGUGACCAGACGCCUACGGGAGGCAGCCGAGAGGAAGAAGGGGCGAUGGUUGUAAGACUGAGCCAGCCAGGCCGCGGGCAGGAAGAAGGGCGUAGGAUGUGUAAACUGCUUUUAUAUGUGAAUAAUAAGGCGGACGUGUACGUUUAUGACGGUACCAUAUGAAUAAGCACCGGCUAACUACGUG
rnacentral:rRNA from 1 species